rnacentral:lncRNA from 1 species
AAUACUUCUUCCUUUAUUCGAAUUUGACAUUGACUAUAUCUUGUAUACAUUGAAACGUUAAAUCCAAGUGAAACAGACUCCUCAAUUUUGAGUCGCAAAUUAUUGCAUCACAUCAAGUCCAUAGUGAGAAGCCCGGUGGCGGGGCUUAGUUGCUAGUGAGAAGCCCGCGACGGCCCCGCCGCCGCCGCCGCCGCCGCCACCCUAACGCCCACCCCGGUUCAGAUCACCGACCCCGCACUAAGUUUCUAAAAGGAUCCUAUUCCCCUUUUAAACUUCGAACAAAAUAUGAAAAAAUUGCACAUUUUGACCUUAGCCUAUUCUGGUCAUCAACCUUAGGCACAGGUCACCCUUUCUGAUAUCGGAAAAGAAAGCAUUAAAGGUGAAAUUCAGCGGGUGAUUGAUCCAUGGCGUUGUCGAGGCUUCGACAUCCGGUGAUCUCUCGAGCCCCUUUGUUGAUUAGGGCUCGUUUUCUCUAUUUCUCUUCCACUCAUAUAUCAUUCUAUCGGUGCUCUCUCUCCUUCUGUAGCGUGUUUUUGUAAAUCUGUGUUUUUCUACCUGCAUUUGGAUCAGUACAUUUCGUUGAUUGUGAAAGAAUUAUUCAUUUCAAUUUAAGCGAAAAUUUGAAAACGAGAUCGAAUGGUUGGUGAAAUGGGCAAAGGCGAGUCGCAUAUAUGAUUACUAAAAAAAUAUCCAAUUAUAAUGCUGUACUCAGGAAACAUCGAUUCUUAUUUUUAUAAACACCAAUACUUUACUCGUAUUUGGAAUUAAUACUUAAAUUACUUCUCUAAGUUGUAAUUUGUAUUUGAAUAAUGACCGUAUAUACAUACAUACAUAUAUGGUCAAAGGCAAGCCGCAUAGAGUACUUAAAAAUGCUCAAUUAUAAUAUUCUACCCAGGAAACAGUGUUUCUUAUCGUACAAGCACUAAUAAUGCAGUCGAAUUAAAUACGGGAUUAAAUUAGUUCUUCUAAUUUUGUAUUUGAAGGACGUCGACACAUUGCUUCUAUUGAUGUACGUCACAUGCAGAAUAGAUUACACUGUAAAUCUUGAUUGAAAGAAGUCCAAGUCUCACUCAGGAGAUGCAAUAUCUUCUUGAUGGCCAUUCUCAUUUUCUGAGAUUUAUUAUAGGGAAUUAAUUCUCUAAUGUAUCAGAAUUAAGUUGCCCGUGUUUCUUUCAAACGCCAAUUUUUGUGACUCAAAGGUUGCUAUUUUUUUCCCCUAUUGUUGAGAAAUUUCUCUGAUAGAGUAGUUUUUACGCAACGUGAACAUAUAUUUUGCACACAUUCCAGGCUAAAUUAAUAAUAUAUCACUGACUAUGCGAAACUUAUUGUGAUUAAUAAGACACUUAUUUUGAUCUUACUCUCUUACGCUGUGGAAGAGAAUGAAUGAAGGUUGUCUACAUUACAUGAGUAAAUUGAAAUUCUUAGGAAAUGGUAACAUAGGGGUAUCUUUGAUAUUAUUUCUUUGGAAAAUCUGGAUGGAAAAAGGCAAUUAUCAGAAUGAUAAGGUUAUUCUCCUACCGACUAGAAAAAGUUACACUGGGAAUUUAUAUUAUGUCUGUUGUACUAGGAAGCUCAGAACUUUAUUGAAAGUAAAUGUUUCCACUUCACCAACUCCGUAUAUAUCUAGAGUUUUUCUUUGCUGAAUUCUGGAUUUGGAGAUACGAACUCGUGUCUCUUGUCCUGGAUUUCUUUUUCAUGUAAUGGAUUGAUAAAAGCAAAUGGUUGGGCGCUAACCAGUAGAUCUGAUCCUGUGAAUUUAGCAUUAAGUCAUGAUACCAUUUUAAGUCAAUUGAAUGUUCAGUUCUUAUUUAAAUACUUUUGAUCUUAAGAUAGAUAGUGAACACACAUUACCUUACGCAUUUAAUGGGGCUCUUGAUCAUCUUCGAAAUGAUUUCCCACACACAAUGUUGAACAGUCUGUUACCUAUGUCUCCUGCCUUAAAAUCAAACAUUUUCGGGCAUGAAGGCAAAACAUCCCUUGCUAGUCACAUGCAGUUCUGUUAAUAUACUUUUUGAGUUUACACCAUUCUAUUUUUGUUUUUGCUGAAGACCACAUAUGAUCUCCAUCACAAUCUUCUUAAUGUUUGUCAUAUGCCUUCUAAAUUUCACAAAGAUCUUAACUUUCUCAUAUACUAGUUUAAUGUCAAAUUAUUGAUGCUGUAGUUCCAGGAUGCUGAUCUCUAAUGCUGAUGUUGAGGUCACUUUUUUAAGGUUUGAAUCUUGACACUUCCUAUCUGUUGCCCCUUUCUUUGCUCCUGUUUAUUUUGGUCAUGCAGCUCAAAAGUGACACGACAUAAUUUUACUUGAAUUUUCUUCCUUUUUGAUGUUGGAUUUUUUAAGUGAGUUAUUUGAGUUUCUGAAGUUGUUCUUUAUCGAUCCAAUGCCAUAUGGCAACGAACAACUUUUUUCUAAUAUAUUAGAUAUUAGUUCUCAGAUAUCUGAAUUAUUCAGAUGGUUAUUGAGCAUAUUAGCUUCAAAACUAAGUACGUAAUAGCCCUGGGAAUCUAAAAUUUUCACAAAUUGUCCCAUGAAUAAACUUCUUUUAUUUCAUACCAAACGUGGAUCCUAUACAAUAGUUUCUCAAAGAAACCUAAAGUUAUGCUGGGGUGUUCAGCUUGCAGUUGGCAAAAUCUUUGUGUGGAAAUUAGCAAAGAGUUUCCCAGCACUUGUAAUGUGGCAUGAAGCUGGGUCGAUACCUCAUUUGGCAGGAAAAAAAUUGUGAAAUAGAUUCUGUACAUGGGGUCGGAUUGGUUGUUGGAGAUACAUAUUGAUUUAACUGGACUUGUAAUUUUCAGUUUUUUGCAAUCGUAUGAUUUACUAAUGAUGCAAGUUUAUCAGGCCUACUCCUUUUCCAAUGGUCAAUAGAGUUCACUACAUUUCUUCUAAGCUGAAGGUUAGUGGUGAAAAUACAUUGAUGAUUUACAUUGCACCAAUGAUUUUUUUCCUAACUGUGAUUAUGGGAAUGACAGUUGCUGAGUGGUGUCCGAAAUUUACUCAUCUUUAGGUAUGAUUUUUCUGAGUUCUAUAUUGCAACUCCUUAAGCGGGUUUGUCUAUUUGAGAAAUUUUCAGAUUCUUUAGAUUUAAAAGAAAGAAAAUCCUGAGAAAAGUGAACGAGGACUCAAAGGAACCAUAAAAAAUAAUAUAGAAGAAAAGAGUGAAAUUAUUUGCAGCAGUUCUCCAGUCAUCAGCUAUUUCUUACUGAAAAGUUGCAACUUCACCUAGGGUGGCUUUCAUUGCACUUCAGAGGUCAUACCUCUUCAAUUGUUCUCUUGUCUAAGUUCCAAUUCUAUUAAAUGCCCGAAAAAACCCUUGAGACAUUCUCUAUUAAGAAAAAACAACACAAAAAGCUGAGGCCAAUUAACAAAAAACCCAAAAUGCCAAUACAAAGGAAUGCACAUGUGGUUACCCUAGGCUUAUGCAAUGAGGUGUGCUCCUUAGGAAGUAGAGAUGAAAGCUCGAAGUGUAAGCUUAAAGACUCUUAAUAAAAGCCUCAUGUGGUGAGACCUGCCCAUUGUAUUCCUCGGCUCUUCUCUAUUUCUACUCAAAUAUUAAACUUGAUAUCCACUCAAAUGUGAUACACAUGAGUGCUUCCCUGUGUAUGCAUCUUCUGAUGUGUGGGUGUUUAUUCCACUAUUUCUCUUUCUGUAAGUCUGUCUGAUCGUGGCAGUAUGCACUUGGACUAAUUGUUGUGUACAGAUUUGAAUUUGACUGUCAAUUUUUGGAUGUCCAGGUUCAUGACGUUUUUCUAAUUUUUGGAUGUCAAUUUCCUUGCAGACUCAAGGUAACAUUUCAAAGUGGAAGAAGAAAGGGAGAUAAGGUCCGUCACAUUAAGUAGUUAUUUUCUGAACAAGGAUAGGAUGGCUUUUUAUUUAUAUAUAUGAUGCCAAUUAAAAAUAACUGCGAAGAGUAUUUGUUGACUUGGAACAAAGACAUCCGAGUUUUGAUGAUUUCUGACUGUGAUUUUAUUUGUCUUGACUUUUAAUGGAUCUAAUAGAUAGAAGUGGGGGAUGUGAUAUGUGAAAUAGAGACGGACAAAGCUACCCUUGAGUUUGAAUGUCUUGAAGAAGGGUAAAUUCUAAUUUUUAGUCUGCUUUAAUAGGGGCUCAGCUGCAGUUUCCAUGAUUAAAUUGCACUGAUCAUUAGAUUAAGAUACAACCAAGUUCACCGUGUUUAUAAUUUUCUUGCCUCGAAAAAUGGAAACAUUUCCUCGAGUAAGUAUUACGUUGCUUAGCACUUAAAAAUAUAUCACGUUAAAAGAAUGAAGGUUCAUCUUCUGUUCUUUAUGCUAUUAUUUUAGUACAUUCUUGUGCCUCAUAUCAUCGUUCAAUGUAGAAAUUUAGUUUCUAGUCUCACUAUUUACGUAACUUUAUCGAGAUGAUCAAGUCAAAUGCACAUUUUAAAUUAUUGUGAUUUUUACAUGUAGCCUCCGUUUGGUAGCCAUUAAUUGCCAAAAUGCAUUUUUCUAUCAAAUCAAUGAAGGGUCAAUCCCAUAUUUUAUUCUCUAAUUCAAAUUCAAAAUGGUAGAAUUUUCAUUUGUCCUUGUUUGUCUUUACCUUAAAUUUUUUCCACACACGCACCAAUUCCUUCAAUGUGAGAAAGAUGAGGAUAAGAAAUAUUUUUUUAUUGCCAACACUCCAAAAAUAAGUAAACACCUACAUACCACUAAUUGCUAAAACAAGGUAUAUUUCCACAACACCAUAAAUUUGACACGUUACCCUAUUUAUUUUCCCAACUUCCUCACAGUUUUCUCUUUACUUGGUCUUGGUUUUUUUUUUUUUUUUUGUUAUUAGUAUUUUUCUUUAGCACGCAAAUAUCUGGAUUACAAUAGCACCGGGUGAAUCUAGCAAAUACCAUUUAUUCAUAAGGGUCUGUUUGAGCCAUAUUUGUUGUCUCAUUUUAAUAGAAAAAUUGACCGUUAUCUCCAAUCACCUAUUGACAACCAACUUACAAAUUUAUUGUACUUGUAUGACAUUUUGCUCUCCACUUUCCCCAUUUGCCCCUCUGCUGUGUCUCAGAAUAAAGGCAACUUUCACGUGAGUAUGUUUUGGCCCCAAAAACUUGAAAGACGAAAAACACUCCGGCGAUUUUCUUCCCUUUCAGACCCUCACAGUUCCACGAUCGUCAUUCUGUAGUGCACCAUCUUCAUCCAACACCGUGGGUGCGAGAAAUCACGUUCGUGCUUGCUGGCUAUACCGGGAAUACGCAUGACGCUCGAAUUCUAGCCCGUGCUAUAUAUAGUCGUGAACUAAAUUUUUCGCAGCUAGCACCCGACAAAUAUUAUUUGGUGAACUCCGAUUUUGCGCAUCGACCUGGAUAUGUGGCCCCAUACAAGGGUUCAGAUAUACUGUAUCACUUCCAACAGUUUCGCGAUGAACGAACAAGUCAACGCCAUAAGUUUUGGAAUGCGCGAGAGAGGUUCAACUUUAGACACUCUUCGUGCAGGAAUGUCAUCGAACGUGCAUUCGGUGUGUUGAAGCAGAGAUGAAAAAUCCUUGAUCAUAUGCCCAACUACUGUUUUUCGACACAAGUUGCAGUUGUCAUAGUCACAAUGGGCAUUCAUAACUUUCUACGUUGUGUCGGAGUUGUGGACGAGGCGUUCGCAAGAGCGGAAGUAGAUGUCGAGGUAGCAGAGGUGGAGCUGCCUAAAGCUGAGGAUGAAGUUCAGGUUGAAAUGAAUGCGCCAGAGAUGCAACGAAGCGAGUGGGACAGUUUUCGUGAUUACAUGGCACAAUAGCCAUGAUGGUCGCUCUUUGGGACAGAAUUUAUCUUUUAAUGUGUAGUGGCAUAAAUUGAAUUUGCAAGUUCGUUGGAUCAUCUUUGUCCCAUUCGAUGUAAUAUUAUUUACGUGUUUAGUUAUGUACGUAUGUGGAACGUUGAAUAAUUGCACAUUUUACGUUUGCAUCAUGUCCUCGGACCUUGGGUAACAGAACGCGCCGUGCUUAUUGAGCCCCAUUUUAUUUUGUAGUUCAAUAAUCUUCGUAUUGGAUGUUGUUGUUGU